rfam:Rattus norvegicus chromosome 8, whole genome shotgun sequence.
GGGGAUUUAGCUCAGCAGUAGAGCACUUGCCUAGCAAGCACAAGGCCCUGGGUUCGAUCCCCAGCUCCG